UUGGACCUGAUAUCAGGCAAGAUUACCCGCUG
rnacentral:rRNA from 3 species